rnacentral:lncRNA from 1 species
AACCAAUGGCAGACAUGUGCUAUAUCCCAACACACCUUGACUCUUGAUCUCACCGGAAGCUCAGCUUAGGGAAAGGAGAUCUUAAUAGGAGACGGAAGACCAGGACGCUGGUUUUGAUUGUGCCCUUCUCCAGCUGUGUGGCCUUGAGCCCGUGACUUCACCAGUCUUGUCCUCCUAUUUGUGAACAAAUAGCCCCAACUGUCCGAAGGCAGAAGCCUGGUUCACGCCUCUCAAGUGGUUGCUUUACAAUGCAG